rnacentral:rRNA from 1 species
CUGGGCUUGACAUCCGCUGACAGUCCUGGAAACAGGAUCUUCCCCGCAAGGGGACGGCGAGACAGGUGCUGCAUGGCUGUCGUCAGCUCGUGUCGUGAGAUGUUGGGUUAAGUCCCGCAACGAGCGCAACCCUCAUCCUUAGUUGCCAUCAUUGAGUUGGGCACUCUAAGGAAACUGCCCCGGUUAACGGGGAGGAAGGUGGGGAUGACGUCAAGUCCUCAUGGCCUUUAUGUCCAGGGCUACACACGUGCUACAAUGGGCGGUACAAAGGGUUGCAAUACCGUAAGGUGGAGCUAAUCCCAAAAAGCCGCUCUCAGUUCAGAUUAGAGUCUGCAACUCGACUUUAUGAAGGCGGAAUCGCUAGUAAUCGCGGAUCAGCAUGCCGCGGUGAAUACGUUCC